UGCCUUUCUGACCUGGGCCAGUUCAGCCAUC
rnacentral:piRNA from 1 species